AGACCUGCAGUGGAGACCGGGACAGGUUCAAGCAUCUGUCUCUAUGCUCUCAUCUUUGGAGAAAGGAAAAAGUUUUACCCUGAUUUCCUUGUAGUGGUCCUGCAUUCUGCACUAACCACACAAAAGUAGUUCACAAGGCAUGGUAAAGACCACAUCACCUUUCUGGCACAUGAGGGCACAACAAUCGUUUCCUGCCCAUUGCUUGUGAUUGGCAGUGUCACCUGGCUUCGACAGCACUGACCUCCACCACUGGGAUUUACCUGCGCUCUAGAGCACAUGACAGAGAAGGCAGAAGACUUAAUCCUGAAAAGAACAGAAAACUGCCAGCUGUCACUGAAGGCUAGGAGAGCACGAACUGGUCUGCAUUUCCCAGUAGUAAACACAGAUACUUCUGAACUUCUAUGAAAGUCAUUUAUGUGCAGGGUGAGUAUAUAGGUGGCUUCUUAUGCUUACCUCACACACCAUUAUACAUACAAGCUAAGCAUGGAAUAGGCCGGGAGAAGUCACUGCUACUCUGAGCUUCCUACUAGCAUGCUAACUACAGAGCUGAGUUACAUACUUCACUGUCCACCCACUUUGAUUAAUUGGCAGCCUAUUUGCAGCACUAAGGUAUUUAUUUGUUUUGCAAUUGCUAAACAUACAUGAGACACUUGUCUUCCAUAUAAAAAAACUGUAACAGGCACCCUGGAGACAUUACUGUCUAUAUACCGUAUAUGAAUUGUAGCCCCAUGAUUAGCCCCAGUGCAUUCUAUUUUGAUGUAAGGUCAAAAGCAUUCUUAAGUGGUCAAAGAAUCGUAUUUCAGUGCACUACAGCAUUCUGUUUUCCUUACUAAUGGUAAUGAAAUUGCUAUUGUUCAAAGUUUGGAAAGUGUGUUAGGAGCUAGUCUUAAAGUAGAUCAUCUUUCUAGCUAUAUGGAAGGAUGGUAAGAGACAGACUACCAUAUUUCUUAUGAUGAUUUUACAACUAAACUAGAAGAAAAUAUGUCAAGAAACGGAAUUUUUCUGAGGGAAGCAUCUGGAUGUGGUACCAGAUUAAGUGCUAUUCCUACCAGACUGAAAUAAUGGAGGGGGAGACACUUAAAAAACAGCAACUUGACAAUUGAAAAAAAAAAAAAAAAAAAAGACAAUUACCUAUCUCAACCAACAGGAGAAAUUCAGCUUAUCAGGCUAAAUUUGUCAUCAGAUCUGGUCGAAGCAUAUUUUAUGAAGAAAACAGCUGUUUGUUUCUAGCUGAUCCCCAUCAAUACUGCAAUCAUAGUAAUUUGAAAGUGUAGGAUAAUCAUGUAAGUCAUUCCUUAACACUGAAACACUAACAGAAGUUCUGUUAGACUCUUU